UACGUAGGGGGCGAGCGUUGUCCGGAUUUAUUGGGCGUAAAGAGCUCGUAGGCGGCUUGUUGCGUCGACUGUGAAAACCCGCGGCUUAACCGCGGGCCUGCAGUUGAUACGGGCAGGCUAGAGUUCGGUAGGGGAGACUGGAGUUCCUGGUGUAGCGGUGAAAUGCGCAGAUAUCAGGAGGAACACCGGUGGCGAAGGCGGUCUCUGGCCGUAACUGACGCUGAGGAGCGAAAGCAUGGGGAGCGAAACAGG
rnacentral:rRNA from 1 species